UGACCACUUCUUGAGUACAGGAAGUUAAGGCCAUACGGACAGCCGGGUCAAAUGCCGA
rnacentral:sRNA from 24 species